GACGAACGCUGGCGGCGUGCUUAACACAUGCAAGUCGAGCGGUAAGGCCCUUUCGGGGGUACGACGAGCGGCGAACGGGUGAGUAACACGUGGGUGACCUGCCCUCAGCUCUGGGAUAAGCCUGGGAAACCGGGUCUAAUACUGGAUAUGACUCCAUGACGCAUGUUGUGGGGUGGAAAGCCUUGUGCGGCUGAGGAUGGGCCCGCGGCCUAUCAGCUUGUUGGUGGGGUGAUGGCCUACCAAGGCGACGACGGGUAGCCGGCCUGAGAGGGCGACCGGCCACACUGGGACUGAGACACGGGCCCAGACUCCUACGGGAGGCAGCAGUGGGGAAUCUUGCGCAAUGGGCGAAAGCCUGACGCAGCGACGCCGCGUGAGGGAU
rnacentral:rRNA from 1 species